CGGCGGCCGCCGCAGCAGUGGCGGCGGCGGCGGCGGCGGCAGCAGCCUCUGCAGC
rnacentral:miRNA from 1 species